AGCUGCUGAACGGUGGCCCCAUGGUGCGCGCAGGCUGGUGUGCGGAGCGUGCGGAACCAGCGGAGCGGGAUCGGCGUGAGCAGCGUACUGGCUGGUCUCAAACUCCUGAUCCCAGUGAUCCGCCCGCCUCGGCCUCACAAAGUGCUGGGAUUACAGCUGUUUUACCAUGAUGUGCUUAGGUGUUCUUUCAUUUGUAUUCAUCCUAUUUGAGGUUUGUAUAUGCAUUUUCUAUUUGUUUCUCUAUGCAUCAGUCUGUAUAUUUUUACCAACUUACAGUUCAUGAAUCUUUUCAUCAGCUGUAUGCAAUUUGCUAUUAGACCCAUUAGGUGUAUUCUUGAUUUUGCUUAUAUAUUUUUAAUUCUAAAAUUCGUAUUUUUUAUAAUUUCCAUUUCUCUGCUGAAAUUCUUCAAUUUGCCAUCAACUUGUUGAGGGUAUUAAUCACAAUUUAAACAAAUUCAUGUCUAAUUACUCUAAUGAGGUUUUGGUAGAUCUAUUACUAUUAUAUAUUAUUCUCUUGAUUUUUGGUCAAGUGUUCUUGUAUCCUGGUAAUUUUGGAUUUAAUGCUAGAUGUCAUAU
ensembl:lncRNA novel transcript